ACCAGACUCCUACGGGAGGCAGCAGUGAGGAAUAUUGGUCAAUGGCCGAAGGGCUGAACCAGCCAAGCCGCGUGAAGGAAUAAGGCCCUACGGGUCGUAAACUUCUUUAGUCAGGGAACAAAGGGUGCCACGUGUGGCGUUUUGCGAGUACCUGAAGAAAAAGCAUCGGCUAACUCCGUGCCAGCAGCCGCGGUAAUACGGAGGAUGCGAGCGUUAUCCGGAUUUAUUGGGUUUAAAGGGUGCGUAGGCGGGAGAGCAAGUCAGGGGUAAAAAGGCGGGGCCCAACCCCGUCGAGCCGUUGAAACUGGUGUUCUUGAGUGGGCGAGAGGUAUGCGGAAUGCGUGGUGUAGCGGUGAAAUGCAUAGAUAUCACGCAGAACCCCGAUUGCGAAGGCAGCAUACCGGCGCCCAACUGACGCUGAGGCACGAAAGCGUGGGUAUCGAACAGGAUUAGAUACCCGCGUACA
rnacentral:rRNA from 1 species